rnacentral:rRNA from 1 species
AUUCCUCUAGUAAGGGCGACUGAAGCAGGAUAAGUCCACCGCGUGAAUCGAUUUCUCGAAAUCGAGUUGUGGUCUGGAGAAGUAUUGUCGGUCAACGUUCCGAGCUAAGUCUCUUGGAAAAGAGCAGCAGAGAGGGUGACACUCCCGUUCUUGCUUGGAAUGUGUGAUCAUGGCACAUAUCUUCAACGAGUCGAGUUGCUUGGGAUUGCAGCUCAAAGUGCGUGGUAAACUCCAUGUAAGACUAAAUAUCGGUGGGAGACCGAUAGCGUACAAGUACUGUGAAGGAAAGAUGCAAAGAACUUUGAAAAGAGAGUUAAAGAGUACCUGAAAUUGCUGAAAGGGAAGCGUUUGGAAACAGUGUGCUUUCGUACCAUUCUUCCUUUACCAUUUAUGGUGAGGGCUCUGUGGUGCGAUAUCGCUCAACAUGGGUUCGGAUCGUGGUAUAUAGCUAUUCAGGAGGUAUGCCAUUGGGCAGAAUACUGUUUAGUGUUACCAUGGUCUGGACUGAGGCUAGUCACUUGUGCUCGUGAUGUUGAGGAAAUGUUUCUAAACACCCCGUCUUGAAACACGGACCAAGGAGUCUAACAUAUAUGUGAGUAUCUGGGUGGCAAACCCAUAUGCGUAAUGAAAGUAACAGUGGUUGGACCUUUAGGGCACAAUCCGCCGGCCACAAUCCCUCGGGAGAAAGGUCUGAGUGUGAACAUACAUGUUGGGACCCGAAAGAUGGUGAACUAUGCCUGGGUAGGGUGAAGCCACCGGAAACGGUGGUGGAGGCUCGUAGCGGUUCUGACGU